rnacentral:rRNA from 1 species
AUGCAAUACCGUGAGGUGGAGNGAACCCCUAAAAAUCGUCCCAGUUCAGAUUGCAGUCUGCAACUCGACUGCAUGAAGUCGGAAUCGCUAGUAAUCGCGGAUCAGCAUGCCGCGGUGAAUACGUUCCCGGGCCUUGUACACACCGCCCGUCACACCAUGGGAGCCGGUAAUACCCGAAGUCAGUAGUCCAACCUCGUGAGGACGCUGCCGAAGGUAGGAUUGGCGACUGGGGUGAAGUCGUAACAAGGUAAC